AACCUUUAGCCUAUAAACCAGUAUUAAAGGCGAUGCCUGCCCAGUGAACUAUUUAACGGCCGCGGUACCCUAACCGUGCAAAGGUAGCGUAAUCACUUGUCUAUUAAUUGUAGACCCGUAUGAAAGGCAAAACGAGGGCCUAACUGUCUCUUAUAGUAAAUCAAUUAAACUGAUCUCCCAGUACAAAAGCUGGUAUAUUAACAUAAGACCAGAAGACCCUGUGAAGCUUAAACUAAACCAUUAAAACUCAUAAUGACUACUUUCGGUUGGGGCGACCUUGGAAAAAAAAAGAACUUCCAUAACACUAAUUUCUACCAUAUUUCCCACUCAGGCCAACAAGCCUACUAACGACCCAGUAUAACUGAUAAAUGAACCAAGUUACUCCAGGGAUAACAGCGCUAUCUUCUUCAAGAGCCCAUAUCAAAAAGAAGGUUUACGACCUCGAUGUUGGAUCAGGACAUCCUAUUGGUGCAGCCGCUAUUAAAGGUUCGUUUGUUCAACGAUUAAUAGUCCU
rnacentral:rRNA from 1 species